CACUUUGUGGUUCAUGACUGGGGUGAAGUCGUAACAAGGUAGCGCUAGGGGAACCUGGCGCUGGAUCACCUCCUUACACGAUGAU
rnacentral:rRNA from 1 species